rnacentral:rRNA from 1 species
UACGUAGGCAGCGAGCGUUGUUCGGAAUUACUGGGCGUAAAGAGUGUGUAGGCGGUGCUCUAAGUUCGGUGUGAAAUCUCCUGGCUCAACUGGGAGGGUGCGCCGGAAACUGGAGUGCUUGAGCGUGGGAGAGGAAAGCGGAAUUCCUGGUGUAGCGGUGGAAUGCGCAGAUAUCAGGAGGAACACCGGUGGCGAAGGCGGUUCUCUGGGCCUUACCUGACGCUGGAGGAGCGAAAGCGUGGGGAGCGAACAGG